AUAGUUACCUGAAACAGGACAUACCAUGAUCACAAAGGUGUUUUUCCCAGGGCGAGGUUCAUUCAUUGUACUCGGGAUGUGCUAACCCCUGUGAUUUUCCCAAGUGCGGGAAACUUGACUGUGUAAUUUGUGGUAGUGGGGGACUGCGUUCGAACGCUCCCCUA
ensembl:snRNA U1 U1 spliceosomal RNA